CCCCUCUCAGGAUAGUAUCUGAAGAGUUUUCAGUGCUCUACCAGUAUUGGCUAUGGGAGGGAAAGCCAAGCAUUGGCAUACCUAUUCCAUUCCUAGCUUGGGCAGUGGCUAGCGAGUGGAAGACAAUCUGCUACAAGU